rnacentral:rRNA from 1 species
CGUACACUCCUGCGGGAGGCAGCAGUGGGGAAUAUUGGACAAUGGGCGCAAGCCUGAUCCAGCCAUGCCGCGUGAGUGAUGAAGGCCCUAGGGUUGUAAAGCUCUUUCACCGGUGAAGAUAAUGACGGUAACCGGAGAAGAAGCCCCGGCUAACUUCGUGCCAGCAGCCGCGGUAAUACGAAGGGGGCUAGCGUUGUUCGGAUUUACUGGGCGUAAAGCGCACGUAGGCGGACUAUUAAGUCAGGGGUGAAAUCCCGGGGCUCAACCCCGGAACUGCCUUUGAUACUGGUAGUCUUGAGUUCGAGAGAGGUGAGUGGAAUUCCGAGUGUAGAGGUGAAAUUCGUAGAUAUUCGGAGGAACACCAGUGGCGAAGGCGGCUCACUGGCGCGAUACUGACGCUGAGGUGCGAAAGCGUGGGGAGCAAACAGGAUUAGAAACCCGGGUAGUCCCAUGA